CGGCGAACGGGUGAGUAACACGUGAGUAAUCUGCCCUUCACUUGGGGAUAACUACCGGAAACGGUGGCUAAUACCCAAUACGACAACUCCACGCAUGUGGUGGUUGUGGAAAGUUUUUUCGGUGGAGGAUGUGCUCGCGGCCUAUCAGCUUGUUGGUGGGGUAAUGGCCUACCAAGGGUUCGACGGGUAGCCGGCCUGAGAGGGUGACCGGCCACACUGGGACUGAGACACGGCCCAGACUCCUACGGGAGGCAGCACUGGGGAAUAUUGGACAAUGGGCGGAAGCCUGAUCCAGCAACGCCGCGUGAGGGAUGACGGCCUUCGGGUUGUAAACCUCUUUCAGCGGGGACGAAGCGCCGAUGAUGGUGGUGACGGUACCCGCAGAAGAAGCACCGGCCAACUACGUGCCAGCAGCCGCGGUAAUACGUAGGGUGCGAGCGUUGUCCGGAAUUAUUGGGCGUAAAGGGCUCGUAGGCGGUUUGUCGCGUCGGGAGUGAAAACUCACAGCUUAACUGUGGGCGUGCUUUCGAUACGGGCAGACUACAGGCAUGCAGGGGAGAACGGAAUUCCUGGUGUAGCGGUGAAAUGCGCAGAUAUCA
rnacentral:rRNA from 1 species